rnacentral:tmRNA from 1 species
GGGGUUGUUCUGGAUUCGACAAUGUAACUAGAGCUUGAUAAGCAUGCCUUGGUUGUGCAAGUAAAAACACUAGGUUAAAUAUAACCGGAAACCAAAAUUACGCUUACGCGGCUUAAGAAAAAGCUGCGAUCUUCUCUCUAAAGAGUCUACGCUUUUUAGGGAAGAACAAUUAGUAGACUAUACAUCCUUAUGUACCGCCUUCACAUAGGAUAAGAACCCAAUAAGGCUCGUUCAUGGUGUUGGUUGUUUACCCCCAAGCUGUGAAUUAAACAAUAGGGCGAACUAAGCAUGUAGAAAGUUGAGUAGCGGUUAUGUUGCACAGGGGUUCAAAUCCCCUCAACUCCACCA